AUUAAAACUCCACUUCCUCCAAUCUGCAAAAAGCCAUUUAUAUAAGCAAUAAAAAAUUCAAUGGGCCCUGCCAAAUGUUAAUUAGUAGAAGCAUUUCAUAAGAAGCUAAACACUUCAAUUGAAUCCUUUGUCAAACAUGGAAUCAGGUACAAAAUCUCAAGGAGACGGUAGAUGAUUAAACAUUGUUUUAAUGUGUAAUGUCAAAUGGAAUAUUAAGAGUUUAUGGAAAAAUCAGCAGACGAGAGAGAGAGAGAGAGAG
rnacentral:misc_RNA from 1 species